GUUACCGAAUUCAGACAAACUCCGAAUGCCAAUUAAUUUAACUUGGGAGUCAGAACAUGGGUGAUAAGGUCCGUGUUCGAAAGGGAAACAGCCCAGACCACCAGCUAAGGUCCCAAAAUAUAUGUUAAGUGGAAAAGGAUGUGGCGUUGCCCAGACAACUAGGAUGUUGGCUUAGAAGCAGCCAUCAUUUAAAGAGUGCGUAAUAGCUCACUAGUCGAGUGACACUGCGCCGAAAAUGUACCGGGGCUAAACAUAUUACCGAAGCUGUGGAUUGUCCUUUGGACAAUGGUAGGAGAGCGUUCUAAGGGCGUUGAAGCAUGAUCGUAAGGACAUGUGGAGCGCUUAGAAGUGAGAAUGCCGGUGUGAGUAGCGAAAGACGGGUGAGAAUCCCGUCCACCGAUUGACUAAGGUUUCCAGAGGAAGGCUCGUCCGCUCUGGGUUAGUCGGGUCCUAAGCUGAGGCCGACAGGCGUAGGCGAUGGAUAACAGGUUGAUAUUCCUGUACCACCUAUAAUCGUUUUAAUCGAUGGGGGGACGCAGUAGGAUAGGCGAAGCGUGCGAUUGGAUUGCACGUCUAAGCAGUAAGGCUGAGUAUUAGGCAAAUCCGGUACUCGUUAAGGCUGAGCUGUGAUGGGGAGAAGACAUUGUGUCUUCGAGUCGUUGAUUUCACACUGCCGAGAAAAGCCUCUAGAUAGAAAAUAGGUGCCCGUACCGCAAACCGACACAGGUAGUCAAGAUGAGAAUUCUAAGGUGAGCGAGCGAACUCUCGUUAAGGAACUCGGCAAAAUGACCCCGUAACUUCGGGAGAAGGGGUGCUCUUUAGGGUUAACGCCCAGAAGAGCCGCAGUGAAUAGGCCCAAGCGACUGUUUAUCAAAAACACAGGUCUCUGCUAAACCGUAAGGUGAUGUAUAGGGGCUGACGCCUGCCCGGUGCUGGAAGGUUAAGAGGAGUGGUUAGCUUCUGCGAAGCUACGAAUCGAAGCCCCAGUAAACGGCGGCCGUAACUAUAACGGUCCUAAGGUAGCGAAAUUCCUUGUCGGGUAAGUUCCGACCCGCACGAAAGGCGUAACGAUUUGGGCACUGUCUCAACGAGAGACUCGGUGAAAUCAUAGUACCUGUGAAGAUGCAGGUUACCCGCGACAGGACGGAAAGACCCCGUGGAGCUUUACUGUAGCCUGAUAUUGAAAUUCGGCACAGCUUGUACAGGAUAGGUAGGAGCCUUUGAAACGUGAGCGCUAGCUUACGUGGAGGCGCUGGUGGGAUACUACCCUAGCUGUGUUGGCUUUCUAACCCGCACCACUUAUCGUGGUGGGAGACAGUGUCAGGCGGGCAGUUUGACUGGGGCGGUCGCCUCCUAAAAGGUAACGGAGGCGCUCAAAGGUUCCCUCAGAAUGGUUGGAAAUCAUUCAUAGAGUGUAAAGGCAUAAGGGAGCUUGACUGCGAGACCUACAAGUCGAGCAGGGUCGAAAGACGGACUUAGUGAUCCGGUGGUUCCGCAUGGAAGGGCCAUCGCUCAACGGAUAAAAGCUACCCCGGGGAUAACAGGCUUAUCUCCCCCAAGAGUUCACAUCGACGGGGAGGUUUGGCACCUCGAUGUCGGCUCAUCGCAUCCUGGGGCUGUAGUCGGUCCCAAGGGUUGGGCUGUUCGCCCAUUAAAGCGGUACGCGAGCUGGGUUCAGAACGUCGUGAGACAGUUCGGUCCCUAUCCGUCGUGGGCGUAGGAAAUUUGAGAGGAGCUGUCCUUAGUACGAGAGGACCGGGAUGGACAUACCUCUGGUGUACCAGUUGUCGUGCCAACGGCAUAGCUGGGUAGCUAUGUGUGGACGGGAUAAGUGCUGAAAGCAUCUAAGCAUGAAGCCCCCCUCAAGAUGAGAUUUCCCAACUUCGGUUAUAAGAUCCCUCAAAGAUGAUGAGGUUAAUAGGUUCGAGGUGGAAGCAUGGUGACAUGUGGAGCUGACGAAUACUAAUCGAUCGAAGACUUAAUCAA
rnacentral:rRNA from 2 species